CUUUGUCUGGCUUUGGAAUUAAGGUGAUGCUGGCUUCAUAGAACGAAUUUGGAAGUACUCCAUCUCUUUCUAUCUUUCCAAACAGCUUUAGGAGAAUAGGUAUGAUUUCUUCUUUAAAUGUUUGAUAAAAUUCUCCUGGGAAGCCAUCUGGCCCUGGACUCUUGUGUCUUGGGAGGUUUUUGAUGACUGCUUCAAUUUCCUCCCUGGUUAUUGGCCUGUUCAGGUUUUCUAUUUCUUCCUGUUCCAGUUUUGGUAGUUUGUGGCUUUCCAGGAAUGCGUCCAUUUCUUCUAGAUUGCCUAAUUUAUUGGCGUAUAGCUGUUCAUAAUAGGUUUUUAAAAUCGUUUGUAUUUCCUUGGUGUUGGUAUGAUCUCUCCUUUCUCAUUCAUGAUUUUAUUAAUUUGAGUCUUCUCUCUCUUCUUUUUCAUAAGGCUGGCUAAUGGUUUAUCUAUCUUAUUAAUUCUUUCAAAGAACCAACUCCUGGUUCUGUUGAUCUGUUCCACAGUUCUUCUGGUCUCGAUUUCGUUGAGUUCUGCUCGAAUCUUUAUUAACUCCCUUCUUCUCUUGGGUGUAGGAUCUAUUUGCUGUUUUUUCUCUAGCUCCUUUAUGUGUAAGGUUAGCUUUUGUAUUUGAGUUCUUUCCAGUUUUUGAAUGGAUGCUUGUAUUGCGAUGUAUUUACCCCUUAGGACUGCUUUUGCUGCAUCCCAAAGAUUUUGAACUGUUGUAUCUUCAUUCUCAUUAGUUUCCAUGAAUCUUUUUAAUUCUUCCUUAAUUUCCUGGUUGACCCUUUUAUCUUUAGCAGGAUGGUCCUUAACCUCCACGUGUUUGAGGUCCUUCCAAACUUCUUGUUGUGAUUUAGUUCUAAUUUCAAGGCAUUAUGGUCUGAGAAUAUGCAGGGGACGAUCCCAAUAUUUUGGUAUCGGUUCAGACCUGAUUUGUGACCCAAUAUGUGGUCUAUUCUGGAGAAAGUUCCAUGUGCACUUGAGAAGAAUGUGUAUUCAGUUGAGUUUGGAUGUAAAGUUCUGUAGAUAUCUGUGAAAUCCAUCUGGUCCAGUGUAUCGUUUAAAGCUCUCGUUUCUUUGGAGAUGUUGUGCUUAGAAGACCUAUCGAGUAUAGAAAGAGCUAGAUUGAAGUCACCAAGUAUAAGUGUACUAUUAUCUAAGUAUUUCUUCACUUUGGUUAAUAAUUGAUUUAUAUAUUUGGCAGCUCCCACAUUAGGGGCAUAUAUAUUGAGGAUUGUUAAGUCCUCUUGUUGAAUAGAUCCUUUAAGUAUGAUAUAGUGUCCCUCUUCAUCUCUCACUACAGUCUUUGGGGUAAAUUUUAGUUUAUCUGAUAUAAGGAUGGCUACCCCUGCUUUCUUUUGAGGACCAUUCGAAUGGUAAAUGGUUCUCCAACCUUUUAUUUUCAGGCUGUAGGUGUCCUUCUGUCUAAAAUGAGUCUCUUGUAGAUAGCAAAUAGAUGGGUCCUGCUUUUUUAUCCAGUCUGAAACCCUGCGCCUUUUGAUGGGGUCAUUAAGCCCGUUCACGUUCAGAGUUACUAUUGAGAGAUAGGAGUUUAGUGUCAUCCUAAUAUCUAUUCAGUCCUUGUUUUUGUGGACUGUUCCACUGAACUUCUUCUUAAAGGGGAAUUUUAAGAGUCCCCCUUAAAAUUUCUUGCAGAGCUGGUUUGGAGGUCACAUAUUCUUUUAGUUGCUGCCUGUCUUGGAAGCUCUUUAUCUCUCCUUCCAUUGUGAAUGAGAGCCUUGCUGGAUAAAGUAUUCUUGGUUGCAUGUUCUUCUCAUUUAGGACCCUGAAUAUAUCCUGCCAGCCCUUUCUGGCCUGCCAGGUCUCUUUGGAGAGGUGUGCUGUCACCCUAAUACUCCUCCCCAUAAAAGUCAGGGAUUUCUUGUCUCUUGCUGCUUUAAGGAUCUUCUCUUUAUCUUUGGAAUUUGCAAGCUUCACUAUUAAAUGUCGAGGUGUUGAACGGUUUUUAUUGAUUUUAGGGGGGGAUCUCUCUAUUUCCUGGAUCUGAAUGCCUGUUUCCCUUCCCAGAUAAGGAAAGUUUUCAGCUAGAAUUUGUUCAAAUACAUAUUCUGGCCCUCUGUCCCUUUCAUCGCCCUCGGGAACCCCAAUUAAACGUAGGUUUUUCUUUCUCAGGCUGUCGUUUAUUUCCCUUAAUCUAUCUUCAUGGUCGUUUAAUUGUUUGUCUCUUUUUUCCUCAGUUUCCCUCUUUGCUAUCAACUUGUCUUUUAUGUCACUCACUCGUUCUUCCACCUCGUUAACCCUCGUCGUUAGGACUUCUAGUUUGGAUUGCAUCUCAUUCAAUUGAUUUUUAAUUUCUGCCUGAUUAGCUCUAAAUUCUGCAGUCAUGAAGUCUCUUGAGUCCUUUAUACUUUUUUCUAGAGCCACCAGUAGCUGUAUAAUAGUGCUUCUGAAUUGGCUUUCUGACAUUGAAUUGUAAUCCAGAUUUUGUAACUCUGUGGGAGGGAGGCCUGUUUUUGAUUCUUUCUUUGGAGGUGAGGUUUUCCUUCUAGUCAUUUUGCUCAGUGCAGAGUGGCCAAAAGCAAGUUGUAUUGGGAAAAGGAGAAAAAGAGAGGAGAGAAAGAAGGAAAGAAAAGAGAAAGAGAAAAAAAA
rnacentral:lncRNA from 1 species